rnacentral:rRNA from 1 species
CAGUAGCCACGGUAAUACGUAGGUGGCAAGCGUUGUCCGGAAUUAUUGGGCGUAAAGGGCUCGCAGGCGGUUUCUUAAGUCUGAUGUGAAAGCCCCCGGCUCAACCGGGGAGGGUCAUUGGAAACUGGGAAACUUGAGUGCAGAAGAGGAGAGUGGAAUUCCACGUGUAGCGGUGAAAUGCGUAGGGAUGUGGAGGAACACCAGUGGCGAAGGCGACUCUCUGGUCUGUAACUGACGCUGAGGAGCGAAAGCGUGGGGAGCGAACAGGAUUAGAUACCCCAGUAGUCCCUGUCUCUUAUAC